GGUGAACGCUGGCGGCGUGCUCAAGACAUGCAAGUCGAACGGCAGUCUUCGGACUGUAGUGGCGCACGGGUGAGUAACGCGUAACUGACCUACCCCAAAGUCGCGGAUAACGAUUCGAAAGAAUCGCUAAUACGUGAUGUGCUGUCAGAUUGUGUUCUGCCAGUAAAGAUUGAUUGCUUUGGGAUGGGGUUGCGUUCCAUCAGCUAGUUGGUGGGGUAAAGGCCCACCAAGGCGACGACGGAUAGCCGGCCUGAGAGGGUGGCCGGCCACAGGGGCACUGAGACACGGGUCCAACUCCUACGGGAGGCAGCAGGUAGGAAUCUUCCACAAUGGGCGAAAGCCUGAUGGAGCGACGCCGCGUGAGGGAUGAAGGUCUUCGGAUCGUAAACCUCUGAAUCAGGGACGAAAGACACUUCGGUGGGAUGACGGUACCUGAGUAAUAGCACCGGCUAACUCCGUGCCAGCCGCCGCAGUAAGAC
rnacentral:rRNA from 1 species